GACGAACGCUGGCGGCGUGCUUAACACAUGCGAGUCGAACGGUGAAGGGGUCUGCUUUUGUGGGCCCUGGAUGAGUGGCGAACGGGUGAGUAACACGUGAGUAACCUGCCCCCUUCUUCUGGAUAACCGCAUGAAAGUGUGGCUAAUACGGGAUAUUCUGGGUCUGUCGCAUGAUGGGUCUGGGAAAGAUUGCGCCUUUGGGUGUUUUUGGUGGGGGAUGGGCUCGCGGCCUAUCAGCUUGUUGGUGGGGUGAUGGCCUACCAAGGCGGUGACGGGUAGCCGGCCUGAGAGGGUGGACGGUCACACUGGGACUGAGACACGGCCCAGACUCCUACGGGAGGCAGCAGUGGGGAAUAUUGCACAAUGGGCGCAAGCCUGAUGCAGCGACGCCGCGUGAGGGAUGGAGGCCUUCGGGGUGUAAACCUCUUUCGCCAGUGAAGCAGGCCUGCUCCGUGUGGGUGGGUUGACGGUAGCUGGAGAAGAAGCGCCGGCUAACUACGUG
rnacentral:rRNA from 1 species